CCAAACAUGUCCUGGAGGACAAGAAUCAACUACUCAUCCUAAUACGUAAAUUUCCAGAGGGCAUUGCUGUUAUUGAUCUCAAGGAUGCAUACCCAACUGUCAUGGAGGAUCUACAGGCUUUGAAAGCUGCUGGUGAAAUCUGGCUGUUGUCGAACUUCGACUCGCAAAGACAUAGCCUAUCCAAAUGACCCUCAAGUGCCAAUCAAGGUUGAUGACGACCUGAAACUGCUAUUCCAGGGAAUUGAACUACCACGUGAUAUGAUUGACAUUGAGAAAGAAUCUUCAAAAGAACGGGAUGAAGCCCGCCAAAACACUGCAAAAAUCUAGACUACACAUUAAUUUGUCAUUAGCAUGAUCCGUUGAAAAAUAAUGGUGGAUCUUAUUAUUUUAUAGAUAUGAUAGGUCCUAUAUUUAUACAUAUGGUUCGUACGUAGGAGGUAAAAGAAAGGGGGUAAAUAUUCAUGUAUCAUUUUCUUAGUCAUCAAGCCAAGACAUACUCUCUGAGGAAUGAACUGUCUAGUACAAAUUUGACUCCAUUUUCAUUUGGCAGACUUAGCUCGAACAGCAUUACACUCUGGUAGGGGCCUCCCCAUCAACCAUAACUCAGUUGUAUCCAAUUUGCAGUCAUGUGUGAGAAAUUGUUUCUCUAGUUGAUGAUAAAGUAUAAUUUUUAUGCUAAAUGAAAUAUGUAGUUUCGAAUUA